rnacentral:rRNA from 1 species
UGGGGAAUAUUGGCCAAUGGGCGAAAGCCUGAUCCAGCCAUGCCGCGUGUGUGAAGAAGGUCUUCGGAUUGUAAAGCACUUUAAGUUGGGAGGAAGGGCAUUAACCUAAUACGUUAGUGUUUUGACGUUACCGACAGAAUAAGCACCGGCUAACUCUGUGCCAGCAGCCGCGGUAAUACAGAGGGUGCAAGCGUUAAUCGGAAUUACUGGGCGUAAAGCGCGCGUAGGUGGUUUGUUAAGUUGGAUGUGAAAGCCCCGGGCUCAACCUGGGAACUGCAUCCAAAACUGGCAAGCUAGAGUACGGUAGAGGGUGGUGGAAUUUCCUGUGUAGCGGUGAAAUGCGUAGAUAUAGGAAGGAACACCAGUGGCGAAGGCGACCACCUGGACUGAUACUGACACUGAGGUGCGAAAGCGUGGGGAGCAAACA